CCCUUAGAUGUUCUGGGCCGCACGCGCGCUACACUGACGAUGGCAACGAGUUUUUCCUUCGCCGAAAGGUGUGGGUAAUCUUUUGAAACAUCGUCGUGCUGGGGAUAGAUCAUUGCAAUUUUUGAUCUUGAACGAGGUAUUCCUAGUAAGCGCGAGUCAUCAGCUCGCGUUGAUUACGUCCCUGCCCUUUGUACACACCGCCCGUCGCUACUACCGAUUGAAUGGUUUAGUGAGGACUCCUGAUUGGCGCCGCCGCCCCGGCAACGGAGCAGCGGACUGCCGAAAAGUUGUUCAAACUUGAUCAUUUAGAGGAAGUAAAAGUCGUAACA
rnacentral:rRNA from 1 species